CACCAAUCAAGCCUGGCUUGGUAUUGGGCCACGGGGGCGACCCGGGCCCCAAAGUCGCCGGCUGGAAAGCUCUGAUCUCAGCGUCGUGGAAUCCAUUCGCCGACGAGAGGAGCGAUCCGCGCCGUUUUAACAUCCAUUCGAAA
rnacentral:misc_RNA from 1 species